rnacentral:rRNA from 1 species
UACGUAGGGGGCUAGCGUUAUCCGGAAUUACUGGGCGUAAAGGGUGCGUAGGUGGUUUCUUAAGUCAGAGGUGAAAGGCUACGGCUCAACCGUAGUAAGCCUUUGAAACUGGGAAACUUGAGUGCAGGAGAGGAGAGUGGAAUUCCUAGUGUAGAGGUGAAAUGCGUAGAGAUAUGGAGGAACACCAGUGGCGAAGGCGGCUUCCUGGACUGUAACUGACGCUGAUGCGCGAAAGCGUGGGGAGCAAACAGGAUUAGAUACCCCCGUAGUCCCUGAGCGGG